rnacentral:rRNA from 1 species
UAUUCAGCCUGAGAUGUGAUGCCGAGCCGAUUGUGGUGAAGUGGAUGAUCCUAUGCUGCCGAGUAAAGCCUCUAAUGAGUGUUGUGGCGGCCCGUACCCUAAACCGACUCAGGUGGUCAGGUAGAGAAUACCAAGGCGAUCGGGUGAACUGUGGUUAAGGAACUCGGCAAAUUGCCCCCGUAACUUCGGGAGAAGGGGGACCUCUGCUGGUGAUGGGCUUUACGUUCUGAGCUGGUGGGGGUCGCAGUGGCCAGGGGGAAGCGACUGUUUACUAAAAACACAGGUCCGUGCGAAGUCGUAAGACGAUGUAUACGGACUGACGCCUGCCCGGUGCCGGAACGUUAAGGGGACCGCUUAGCCAACGCGAGUUGGCGAAGGUGAGAACUUAAGCGCCGGUAAACGGCGGUGGUAACUAUAACCAUCCUAAGGUAGCGAAAUUCCUUGUCGGGUAAGUUCCGACCUGCACGAAUGGCGUAACGACUUCCCCGCUGUCUCAACCACAGACCCGGCGAAAUUGCACUACGAGUAAAGAUGCUCGUUUCGCGCAGCAGGACGGAAAGACCCCGGGACCUUCACUACAGCUUGACAUUGGCGUUUGGAACGUCUUGUGUAGGAUAGGUGGGAGACUGGGAAGCUGUCACGCUAGUGAUGGUGGAGUCAUUGGUGAAAUACCACUCUGGUCGUUUUGAACGUCUAACUCUGGUCCGUGAUCCGGAUCGGGGACAGUGUCUGGUGGGUAGUUUAACUGGGGCGGUUGCCUCCUAAAGAGUAACGGAGGCGCCCAAAGGUUCCCUCAGCCUGGUUGGCAAUCAGGUGUUGAGUGUAAGUGCACAAGGGAGCUUGACUGUGAGACUGACAGGUCGAGCAGGAGCGAAAGCUGGGACUAGUGAUCCGGCAUCGGCGUGUGGAAGCGGUGUCGCUCAACGGCUAAAAGGUACCCCGGGGAUAACAGGCUGAUCUUCCCCAAGAGCCCAUAUCGACGGGAUGGUUUGGCACCUCGAUGUCGGCUCGUCGCAUCCUGGGGCUGGAGUAGGUCCCAAGGGUUGGGCUGUUCGCCCAUUAAAGCGGUACGCGAGCUGGGUUUAGAACGUCGCGAGACAGUUCGGUCCCUAUCCGCUGCGCGCGCAGGAGACUUGAAGGGGGCUGUCCCUAGUACGAGAGGACCGGGACGGACGAACCUCUGGUGUGCCAGUUGUACCGCCAGGUGCACGGCUGGUUGGCUACGUUCGGAAGGGAUAACCGCUGAAAGCAUCUAAGCGGGAAGCUCGCCUUGAGAUGAGGUCUCCCACCCCGUGAGGGGGUAAGGCUCCCGGUAGAUCACCGGGUUGAUAGGCCGGAGGUGGAAGCACGGUAACGUGUGGAGCUGACCGGUACUAAUAGGCCGAGGACUUGACCAC